UACGUAGGGGGCUAGCGUUGUCCGGAAUCAUUGGGCGUAAAGCGCGUGUAGGCGGUCCGGUAAGUCCGCUGUGAAAGUCGGGGGCUCAACCCUCGGAUGCCGGUGGAUACUGUCGGGCUUGAGUACGGAAGAGGCGAGUGGAAUUCCUGGUGUAGCGGUGAAAUGCGUAGAUAUCGGGAGGAACACCUGUGGCGAAAGCGGCUCACUGGACCACAACUAGACGCUGACGGUGCGAAAGCGUGGGGAGCAAACGGGGAUUAAGAAACCCCAAGGUAGUC
rnacentral:rRNA from 1 species